GAUGAAGAACGUAGCGAAACGCGAUAAGUAAUGUGAAUUGCAGAAUUCAGUGAAUCAUCGAAUCUUUGAACGCACAUUGCGCCCCCUGGUAUUCCGGGGGGCAUGCCUGUCCGAGCGUCAUUACAACCCUCAAGCUCAGCUUGGUAUUGGGCCCCGCCGCUCCGGCGGGCCCUAAAGUCAGUGGCGGUGCCGUCCGGCUCCGAGCGUAGUAAUUCUUCUCGCUCUGGAGGUCCGGUCGUGUGCUCGCCAGCAACCCCCAAUUUUUUUCAGGUUGACCUCGGAUCAGGUAGGGAUACCCGCUGAACUUAAGCAUAUCAAUAAGCGGAGGA
rnacentral:misc_RNA from 1 species